GCUGGCGGCGUGCCUAAUACAUGCAAGUCGAGCGGACGAGAAGGGAGACUUGCUCCCGGAUGUUAGCGGCGGACGGGUGAGUAACACGUGGGUAACCUGCCUGUAAGACUGGGAUAACUCCGGGAAACCGGAGCUAAUACCGGAUAGUUCCUUGAACCGCAUGGUUCAAGGAUGAAAGACGGUUUCGGCUGUCACUUACAGAUGGACCCGCGGCGCAUUAGACUAGUUGGUGGGGUAAUGGCUCACCAAGGCGACGAUGCGUAGACCGACCUGAGAGGGUGAUCGGCCACACUGGGACUGAGACACGGCCCAGACUCCUACGGGAGGCAGCAGUAGGGAAUCUUCCGCAAUGGACGAAAGUCUGACGGAGACAACGCCCGCGUGAGUGAUGAAGGUUUUCGGAUCGUAAAGCUCUGUUGUUAGGGAAGAACAAGUGCGAGAGUAACUGCUCGCACCUUGACGGUACCUAACCAGAAAGCCACGGCUAACUACGUGCCAGCAGCCGCGGUAAUACGUUAGGUGUGCAAGCGUGGUCCGGAAUUAUUGGGCGUAAAGGGCUCGCAGGCGGUUUCUUAAGUCUGAUGUGAAAGCCCCCGGCUCAACCGGGGAGGGUCAUUGGAAACUGGGAAACUUGAGUGCAGAAGAGGAGAGUGGAAUUCCACGUGUAGCGGUGAAAUGCGUARAGAUGUGGAGGAACACCAGUGGCGAAGGCGACUCUCUGGUCUGUAACUGACGCUGAGGAGCGAAAGCGUGGGGAGCGAACAGGAUUAGAUACCCUGGUAGUCCACGCCGUAAACGAUGAGUGCUAAGUGUUAGGGGGUUUCCGCCCCUUAGUGCUGCAGCUAACGCAUUAAGCACUCCGCCUGGGGAGUACGGUCGCAAGACUGAAACUCAAAGGAAUUGACGGGGGCCCGCACAAGCGGUGGAGCAUGUGGUUUAAUUCGAAGCAACGCGAAGAACCUUACCAGGUCUUGACAUCCUCUGACAACCCUAGAGAUAGGGCUUUCCCUUCGGGGACAGAGUGACAGGUGGUGCAUGGUUGUCGUCAGCUCGUGUCGUGAGAUGUUGGGUUAAGUCCCGCAACGAGCGCAACCCUUGAUCUUAGUUGCCAGCAUUCAGUUGGGCACUCUAAGGUGACUGCCGGUGACAAACCGGAGGAAGGUGGGGAUGACGUCAAAUCAUCAUGCCCCUUAUGACCUGGGCUACACACGUGCUACAAUGGACAGAACAAAGGGCUGCAAGACCGCAAGGUUUAGCCAAUCCCAUAAAUCUGUUCUCAGUUCGGAUCGCAGUCUGCAACUCGACUGCGUGAAGCUGGAAUCGCUAGUAAUCGCGGAUCAGCAUGCCGCGGUGAAUACGUUCCCGGGCCUUGUACACACCGCCCGUCACACCACGAGAGUUUGCAACACCCGAAGUCGGUUAUGGUAACCUUUAUGGAGCCAGCCGCCGAAG
rnacentral:rRNA from 1 species